rnacentral:pre_miRNA from 7 species
GUCUAGGACCUCUGGGUGGUCGCGCUGAUCCCGGACGAGCCCCCAAAUGAAAGACCCCCCCCCCCGAAGGGAGACCCUCACUCAAGCCUCGGGACAGCCGCGGACCCAAGAAGACACUGAGACCA